UACGUAGGGGGCAAGCGUUGUCCGGAUUUAUUGGGCGUAAAGAGCGUGUAGGCGGCCAUACAGGUCAGCUGUGAAAACUCGAGGCUCAACCUCGAGACGUCGGUUGAAACCGUAUGGCUAGAGUCCGGAAGAGGAGAGUGGAAUUCCCGGUGUAGCGGUGAAAUGCGCAGAUAUCGGGAAGAACACCUAUGGCGAAGGCAGCUCUCUGGGACGGUACUGACGCUGAGACGCGAAAGCGUGGGGAGCGAACAGG
rnacentral:rRNA from 2 species